GACGGAGGGUGCUAGCGUUGUUCGGAAUUACUGGGCGUAAAGAGCUCGUAGGCGGUUUGUUGCGUCUAUCGUGAAAACCUGCAGCUUAACUGUGGGCUUGCGGUGGAUACGGGCAGACUUGAGUUCGGUAGGGGAGACUGGAAUUCCUGGUGUAGCGGUGAAAUGCGCAGAUAUCAGGAGGAACACCGGUGGCAAAGGCGGGUCUCUGGACAGUUCCUGACGCUGAGGCACGAAGGUCAGGGGAGCAAACGGG
rnacentral:rRNA from 1 species